UAAAACUUUCAACAACGG
rnacentral:rRNA from 1 species